UGUCAGGAGUGGGAUUCAAACCCACGCCUCCAGGGGAGACUGCGACCUGAACACAGCGCCUUAGACCACUCAGCCAUCCUGAC
rnacentral:tRNA from 1 species